rnacentral:rRNA from 1 species
AAAAUUAUUGAAAAUGUCUAAAUUGCUGUAGUAUUUUGACUAUACAAAGGUAUUGUAAUAAGGUUUUAAUUGAAUGCUAAGAGAAUGGAAUUACAGGGAAAAGUUUUUUUAAAUUUAAUAAUUGAAGUUAUUUUAAUUUGUGAAGAAACAAUUAUAUAAAUUAAAGACAAGAAGACCCUAAGAAUUUAAGAAUUUUUAUUAAUAUAUUGUAUGUGUAUAUAUAUAAAUAAAAUUUUUAGUUGGGGCAACUAAAAAAUAUAUUUAACUUUUUUUUUUAAAAAAAUGACCCAUUAUUAAUGAUAGUAUGAAAAAAAUACUCUAGGGAUAACAGCGUAAUAAUUUUUGAUAGAUCUUAUAUACAAAAUAGUUUGCGACCUCGAUGUUGGAUUAGGAUACUUUUUUAAUGAAUAUGUUAAAAAAAUAAUUUUGUUCAACUUUUAAAUUCUUACUUGAUCUGAGUUUAAACCGUGAACAAGGGAGGA